AUAAGCGGAGGAAAAGAAACUAACAAGGAUUCCCCUAGUAACUGCGAGUGAAGCGGGAAAAGCUCAAAUUUAAAAUCUGGCGGUCUUUGGCUGUCCGAGUUGUAAUUUAGAGAAGCGUCUUCCGCGCUGGACCGUGCACAAGUCUCCUGGAAUGGAGCGUCAUAGAGGGUGAGAAUCCCGUCUUUGGCACGGAUGCCUGGUGCUUCUGUGAUGCGCUCUCGAAGAGUCGAGUUGUUUGGGAAUGCAGCUCAAAAUGGGUGGUGAACUCCAUCUAAAGCUAAAUAUUGGCGAGAGACCGAUAGCGAACAAGUACCGUGAGGGAAAGAUGAAAAGCACUUUGGAAAGAGAGUGAAACAGUACGUGAAAUUGUUGAAAGGGAAACGCUUGAAGUCAGUCGCGUCGACCGAGACUCAGCCUCGCCUUGGCUUGGUGUACUUCUCGGCACGACGGGUCAGCAUCAAUUUUGCCCCUCGGAUAAUGGCAGGGGAAAGGUGGCACCUUUACGGGUGUGUUAUAGUCUUCUGUCGCAUGCGAGGGGUGGGAUUGAGGAACUCAGCGCGCACCUCAGUGUCGGGGCUUCGGCCCACGUCACGCGCUUAGGAUGCUGGCGUAAUGGCUUUAAACGACCCGUCUUGA
rnacentral:rRNA from 1 species